AAAUCGACGUGUGACGAAACUGACCUGCGUCAGUUUUUUAAAAUUAAAUGGAACGGCUUGAGUUAUUCCGAGCAGUUAAAAAAAUUAAUAUGUGUUGAAUAUCGCUACUGCAUUCUUAAAAAAGUGGUGCAGAUUUUAGCCCAUAACUUUUUUGAUUUACAUCGACGAUACGGCGUCGAAAGAAAAAUAAAUAGACCGUACUAAGAAUAAAA
rnacentral:ncRNA from 18 species